rnacentral:rRNA from 1 species
AGAAUUGAUCUGGUCAGAACGAACGCUGGCGGCGCGUUUAAGCAUGCAAGUCGAGCGGCAAGGGCCUUCGGGCCCUAGAGCGGCGGACGGGUGAGUAACACGCGGACAAUCUGCCCCCCGGCCCGGGAUAGCCCAGGGAAACCUGGAUUAAUACCGGAUGAGACGGGACCCGCGAUGGCGGGAUCCGGGAAAGGCGCUGCGGCGCCGCCGGGGGAUGAGUCUGCGUCCCAUUAGCUAGACGGCGGGGUAACGGCCCACCGUGGCGACGAUGGGUAGCCGGCCUGAGAGGGUGGACGGCCACAUUGGAACUGAGACACGGUCCAGACUCCUACGGGAGGCAGCAGCUAAGAAUCUUCCGCAAUGGGCGAAAGCCUGACGGAGCCGACGCCGCGUGAACGAAGAAGGCCGUGAGGUUGUAAAGUUCUUUUCGGGAGGGGGAACAACCGUGGCAGGGAAUGGCCGCGGGAUGACGUGAAUCCCGGAAUAAGCCCCGGCUAACUACGUGCCAGCCGCGGC